GGCAGCUGAUCUAUGAACGUCUAUCUGAGUUGCGAGGGCUUAUCCCUAAUGGGGAGAAGAUGAGCAUUGAUCGCUUAUUACACAGAACGGUAAAGCACUUGCUUUUCUUGCAAGGUGUCACUAAACAUGCUGAAGGACUCAAAAAGGCUGAAAGUUUGAAGGACUCAGAAACUCGGUUAAACUCCAAGUCUAAUGGUAAUGGAGUUACAUGGGCAUGUGAAAUUGGCGAUCAAACAAUGGUUUGUCCGCUGAUAGUUGAGGACCUUAGUACACCUGGUCAAAUGCUUAUAG
rnacentral:misc_RNA from 1 species